rnacentral:rRNA from 1 species
GAUGAACGCUGGCGGCGUGCUUAACACAUGCAAGUCGAGCGGAAAGGCGCGGCUUUUGUGGCGUGCUCGUUAGGGGAGCGCGGGAGAAACACGUGAGUAUAAUGCCCCUGUAUUAGGGGGAAAAUCAGGAGAAAGGGGAUCAUACCGGGUAUAAGAUCCUGCUGCACGGGGGGCGAAGGUGAGAUUCGGCGGUGCGGGAUGGUCUCGAGGGUUAUCAGCUGCAUGGGGGGGUAGUGGCUUUCCAGGGCUUUGAAGGGUAGCCGGCCUGGGAGGGUGACCGGCCACAUUGGGACUGAGGUACGGCCCAGACUCCUACGGGCGGCAGCAGUGGGGAAUAUUGCACAAUGGGCGGAAGCCUGAUGCAGCAACGCCGCGUGCGGGAUGACGGCCUUCGGGUUGUAAACCGCUUUCGCCUGUGACGAAGCGUGAGUGACGGUAAUGGGUAAAGAAGCACCGGCUAACUACGUG